GCCCCGCGCCCGCCGACGGCCCCCCUGAACGCUGUCUGAAGUUGCAGUCUGAGACCUAUAACGAAAUUAGUUAAAACUUUCAACAACGGAUCUCUUGGUUCCGGCAUCGAUGAAGAACGCAGCGAAAUGCGAUAACUAAUGUGAAUUGCAGAAUUCAGUGAAUCAUCGAGUCUUUGAACGCACAUUGCGCCCUCUGGUAUUCCGGAGGGCAUGCCUGUCCGAGCGUCAUUGCUGCCCUCAAGCCCGGCUUGUGUGUUGGGCCCCGUCCCCCCCGCCGGGGGGACGGGCCCGAAAGGCAGCGGCGGCACCGCGUCCGGUCCUCGAGCGUAUGGGGCUUCGUCACCCGCUCUAGUAGGCCCGGCCGGCGCCAGGCGAACCCCAAACCUUUAAUUAUCUCAGGUUG
rnacentral:rRNA from 1 species